AUUGAACGCUGGCGGCAGGCCUAACACAUGCAAGUCGAACGGUAACAGGAAGAAGCUUGCUUCUUUGCUGACGGGUGGCGGACGGGUGAGUAAUGUCUGGGAAACUGCCUGAUGGAGGGGGAUAACUACUGGAAACGGUAGCUAAUACCGCAUAACGUCGCAAGACCAAAGAGGGGGACCUUCGGGCCUCUUGCCAUCGGAUGUGCCCAGAUGGGAUUAGCUAGUAGGUGGGGUAACGGCUCACCUAGGCGACGAUCCCUAGCUGGUCUGAGAGGAUGACCAGCCACACUGGAACUGAGACACGGUCCAGACUCCUACGGGAGGCAGCAGUGGGGAAUAUUGCACAAUGGGCGCAAGCCUGAUGCAGCCAUGCCGCGUGUAUGAAGAAGGCCUUCGGGUUGUAAAGUACUUUCAGCGGGGAGGAAGGGAGUAAAGUUAAUACCUUUGCUCAUUGACGUUACCCGCAGAAGAAGCACCGGCUAACUCCGU
rnacentral:rRNA from 1 species